rnacentral:rRNA from 1 species
UCUGUGUCCCACACUGUCGGUUCACCGCUCGCGGUGUUCAACUGGCAUGUCUGUGGGACGUCCUACCGGUGGGCUUAGCCCGUCAAACGGCGGCCCAACUAAAAAUCCUACCACGGUGCUCUUCACCGAGUGUCGAGGUGGGCCGGUACGUUUACUUUGAACAAAUUAGAGUGCUUAAAGCAGGCUCAUUUGCCUGAAUAUUGUGUGCAUGGAAUAAUGGAAUAGGACCUCGGUUCUAUUUUGUUGGUUUUCGGAACUCCGAGGUAAUGAUUAAUAGGGACAACUGGGGGCAUUCGUAUUGCGACGUUAGAGGUGAAAUUCUUGGAUCGUCGCAAGACGGACAGAAGCGAAAGAAAUGUGUUUUCAUCAAUCAAGAACGAAAGUUAGAGGUUCGAAGGCGAUCAGAUACCGCCCUAGUUCUAACCAUAAACGAUGCCAGCUAGCGAUCCGCCGAAGUUCCUCCGAUGACUCGGCGGGCAGCUUCCGGGAAACCAAAGCUUUUGGGUUCCGGGGGA